UAAUACAUCGGAACAUGUCCAGUAGUGGGGGAUAGCCCGGCGAAAGCCGGAUUAAUACCGCAUACGAUCUAUGGAUGAAAGCGGGGGAUCGCAAGACCUCGCGCUAUUGGGGUGGCCGAUGGCGGAUUAGCUAGUUGGUGGGGUAAAGGCCUACCAAGGCGACGAUCCGUAGCUGGUCUGAGAGGACGACCAGCCACACUGGGACUGAGACACGGCCCAGACUCCUACGGGAGGCAGCAGUGGGGAAUUUUGGACAAUGGGGGCAACCCUGAUCCAGCAAUGCCGCGUGUGUGAAGAAGGCCUUCGGGUUGUAAAGCACUUUUGUCCGGGAAGAAAUCCCCUGCCCUAAUACGGCGGGGGGAUGACGGUACCGGAAGAAUAAGCACCGGCUAACUACGUGCCAGCAGCCGCGGUAAUACGUAGGGUGCGAGCGUUAAUCGGAAUUACUGGGCGUAAAGCGUGCGCAGGCGGUGAUGUAAGACCGAUGUGAAAUCCCCGGGCUCAACCUGGGAACUGCAUUGGUGACUGCAUUGCUCGAGUAUGGCAGAGGGGGGUGGAAUUCCACGUGUAGCAGUGAAAUGCGUAGAGAUGUGGAGGAACACCGAUGGCGAAGGCAGCCCCCUGGGCCAAUACUGACGCUCAUGCACGAAAGCGUGGGGGAGCAAACAGGAUUAGAUACCCUGGUAGUCCACGCCCUAAACGAUGUCAACUGGUUG
rnacentral:rRNA from 1 species